rnacentral:rRNA from 1 species
AGCCAUGCCGCGUGCAGGAAGACGGCCCUAUGGGUUGUAAACUGCUUUUAUAUAGGAAGAAACCUUUCCACGUGUGGAAAGCUGACGGUACUGUAAGAAUAAGGACCGGCUAACUCCGUGCCAGCAGCCGCGGUAAUAAUCACU